rnacentral:tRNA from 1 species
CGCGGGGUGGAGCAGCCUGGUAGCUCGUCGGGCUCAUAACCCGAAGGUCGCGGGUUCGAGUCCCGCCCCAGCUA